AUGGCCUCCCUUAUUCAUGAUGAGAAUUGGUAUCAAGUUAUGUGUAUGCUAAAGGCUUUAUCUGGUGGCUGUGGUGGCUGUGCCUCAGUUCAGCACAGGAAGAGUUUGGUGGCAGGAGAACAGAAGAUGGAUCUGAACAAUAAGUGGCAGCAGAACUGCACAGAGUGCUGGAGACUGAGGACAAGGAACUACCUACAGAGAGAAGGAAUCUGCCGACAUAGGAAUAUGAAAGAGAAAAAACACAGUGAGGAAAAUAAUUUUGAGCAUAUUUGGGAAAAUAUCAGAACGGGCAAGGUUGAACUGAGUGUAGUCAAGUCAAGAUUUCUUCUCUGAAUGUUCAGAUUGCACAAGUAGUUUAGUACUAUUAACUUUUUACCCAAAAAUGAUUGCAGAACUUAUGAGCAUCAGGAAAAUAUUCUGUGAAACACAAAAUGCUAAUUGACAUUCCCAGGGUAAUUCUCAGGCAGAGAGGACAUUUACAAAUUGUAAGUAUUCCAUAGGUACAAAUGAUUAGACAGGGAAAUCUGAAGACAUGCUAAGGACAGAGAGAAAUUUUAAAAAAAGGUUAAUUAAUCACAGUGUAUUGUUCUUUUUUUUCCUACUUUUGUGUAUAUAUCAUUGUUGUUUCAUGUCAUAUAAAAGCAUGCUGGUCCAUUUAGAAAAGAAAGUGCAACUUUUCUGUCGAGGAACAUUGGCAGGUUUUCCACCACUAGUUCUUAUUCCUUAGGACACUGUCUUGUUCCCAAGCACCUGUUAGUUCUGUGAUGAUUCUGCAAAUCCCCUCUGUUUGAGGAAAAAGACAGCAAAUUAACAGCAAAGGCAGCAGAGAGAAAACUCCCGAGCAGGUCGCAGGUCAGUCAGUGCUGUCCCAGUCGUUCAGCCUCCUAUUUGCCUUGCAGUACAGCUGCAGGACAUAUGUUUUCAAUAUAGCUUCUUCUAAAGCAGUGAGGGGAUUGCAGAUUUGGUUUUAUGGUAUCAAGAAAAAGAUUCUCUGGCAGAUAUUUCCAUGGCCUGGUUCUGCAAGUACUCAUUCUUGGAUGCAUGAUUGUGGAAACAGUCACCAGGAAAUGGGGGAGGGAGUUGUCUGAAGACCCUCACUUGUCCCUAGUUAAUCAGCUGGGUGUUAGCAUGGGCAGCUCUGUAACUCCAGGGUGAGUUCAGCAACAGAGCAGCUGUGGCAGCAGAACCCUGCUCUGCGAUAUCUCAGCGGCUCUGUUGAGCUACACGUAUUGCUCGUGCAGCAGGACGCGGCAGAUGGGCUGGGGGGAUGCUACUUGCUGUGUGUGCUAAAGGUAGUUCGUGUUGGUUAAUGCCCAGAUUUGCUGGAAAUACUGCUUGACUUCUUCAGCAGGCCAGAAAUCAUCAUACAAUAAAAAAGAACGUGUCAUUACUUUAACA
rnacentral:lncRNA from 1 species